rnacentral:rRNA from 1 species
GUUCGAUUGGCUCAGAUUGAACGCUGGCGGGAUGCUUUACAUGCAAGUCGAACGGCAGCACGGACUUCGGUCUGGUGGCGAGUGGCGAACGGGUGAGUAAUGUAUCCGGAACGUGCCUAGUAGCGGGGGAUAACUACGCAGCGUAGCUAAUACCGCAUACGCCCCAUAUCCGGGGGAAAGCGGGGACCUUCGGGCCUCAUACCCUAUGAAACAGCCGAUAUCGAGUUAGCUAGUUGGUGGGGUAACGGCUCGCAGGGCGAGCGAUCCGUAGCUGGUUUGAGAGGACGACCAACCACGCUGGGACAGACACAGCCCAGACUCCUACCCGGGAGAGCAGCAGUGAAAUUUUGGACAAUGAAGCCUGAUCCAGCCAUCCCGCGUGUGCGAUGAAGGCCUUCGGGUUUGUAAGCACUUUUGGCAGGAAAGAAACGGCACAGGAUAAUACCCGUGCAACUGACGUUACCUGCAAGAAUGGCACCGGCUAACUACGUGCCAGCAUAGAGAGUAAUACGUAAGUGCAAGCGUUAAUCAAAUUACUAGGCGUAAAGCGUGCGCAGGCGGUUCGGAAAGAAAGAUGUGAAAUCGACGCUUUGGAACUGCAUUUUUUAACUGCCGAGCUGAAGUGUCAGAGAGGUGGAAUUCCACGUGUAGCAGUGAAAUGCGUAGAUAUGCGGAGGAACACCGAUGGCGAAGGCAGCCUCCUGGGAUAGCACUGACGCUCAUGCACGAAAGCGUAGGGGAGCAAACAGGAUUAGAUACCCUGGUAGUCCACGCCUAAACGAUGUCAACUAGCUGUUGGGGCCUUCCGGGCCUUGGUAGCGCAGCUAACGCGUGAAGUUGACCGCCUGGGGAGUACGGUCGCAAGAUUAAAACUCAAAGGAAUUGACGGGGACCCGCACAAGCGGUGGAUGAUGUGGAUUAAUUCGAUGCAACGCGAAAAGGCACACAAUACCUUGACAUGUCUGGAAUCCCGAAGAAGGUGGGGUGCUCGCAAGGAGCAGACACAGGUGCUGCAUGGCCGUCGUCGGCUCGUGUCGUGAGAUAUUGGAAGUUAAGUCCCACAACGAGCGCAACCCUGUCAUUAGUUGCUACGAAGAGGCACUCUAAUGAGACUGCCGGUGACAAACCGGAGGAAGGUGAGGAUGACGUCAAGUCCUCGCUAGCCCUUAUGGGUAGGGCUUCCCAUCAUACAAUGGUCGGGACAGAGGGUCGCCAACCCGCGAGGAGCCAAUCAGAAACCCGGUCGUGAUCGGAUCGCAGUCUGCAACUCGACUGCGUGAAGUCGGAAUCGCUAGUAAUCGCGGAUCAGCAUGUACUUGAGUGAAUACGUUCCCGGGUCUGCGCACCGCCCGUCACACCAUGGGAGUGGGUUUUACCCAAGUAGUUAGCCUAACCGUAAGGAGGGCGAUUACCACGGUAGGAUUCAUGACUAGGGUGAAGUCGUAACAAGGUAA